AUGCCUGAGAAGGUCAAGCAGACAGAAACUAAAACAACAGAAGUUGGGUUAAUAAAGGCCAAACCGAAAGUUAAGGAGGAGAAAGCACUUCAGACUGUAACUAAAUCGGAAAAGAAAGAUCAAUAUGCAUUCUGUCGCUAUGUGAUUGACAUGUUUGCGCAAGGGGAUUUUUAUCCAGGACAUAAGGGAAUGGUAUCACCUCGUCUUCUUCUAGAACAUAGUCCAAGAAAGAAAACAGCAGCUAUUGAAGAAGAGAAGUCUAUUGUGGUAGCUAAGGAAGUGAAAAAAAAAGAAGGAAAAAAAGAGAAAGCUCAUGAGAAGACAGCUGUCCCUGAAAUUAAAAAAGCAGGUAAGAAAAUGAAGUCUUCCUUUCUCUGCAAUAGAUAUCUGACUGUUUAGUGUAAGCACUUUCAGGCUUUAAACAUUUGAGAUAGGGAUGCAUAAAAUUCAUUAUCAAUUAAGAAUUCAAUUAUAAUCAAAUAAUGUCAAAAGAUAUAUACAUUUAUAUCACAGUCUGUUUUAAAUAUAUAUAUACUGUAUUUACAUUAUAUAUAAUAUAUACAGUAUUUAUAGAUAUUCUAUAUAUGUAUAUAUGUAUAUAUAAAUGAUACACAUCAUUUUAUCAGUUUUAUGAGCUUAGGAUUUUUACAAAAAAUAUUGUAAAAUGCUUUCUGUCAUGAAAAAAAAAAGCAUAAGAAGUUUCAAAGAGUGCAUACAUAAGAGACUGCAUGGAGUACAUCGAACUUUGCAUGAUUUUUUUUCACAAAUUCAUCUCACUUUAAUAAAUAGUAACAUAGUAAUACAUCUACAUAUCAAAUCCCUUGAUAAAAAAUAGGUGAUUAUUUUACUAAGAUUUUCUCAACACUCAGAAUAUAUAUAUUUUUAAGUUAAAAUUAAAAUUAGUGAUGCCCUUAUACUAACCCAUUGUGUUUUAUGCUAUUUAACAUUAAAAUAAGUGUUUUUCAAUAAAACUAUAUAUUAACAUUUGGUUCUUGUCUACAUUAAGAUUGUUGCAAUUUGUCUUUUCUGUUAUUUCAAUAAAUUUUCAAGUAGGUUUAAUGUACAAAUGCAAACAUAUCUCCUGUAAGUGUCACAGCCUGUGACUGUCUCAUUAAAAUCAAGUCUCAUUAAAAUCAAGGAGAAACAAAAGGGUCAGUCUAGUGGUUUAGGUCAUCAUUUUAAUACCUAAAUACAAUGGUUCUACUUGCUGGUUUGUCAGAAACUUUCUGUAUAAUCUUCUGGAGGUCAUCAAGUACUCAAAUAAGCGUUUCUGUAGGCUAGAGUAAUGCCUAAAGCCCUGAAGUAAGGUUUAAAUUAGAAUUGAAAGAUUCAGGGCUACAGUUACUAUGUUCUCAAGGUAAGCCUUGUGCUCUGCUAUCUAAUUAUUCGAAUCUGUCAAAUUUUAUCAAAUUCUAUCAAAAGUCAAAGCAAUAUAUAACCUAUUGUUUACUAAUACUGUGGAUUACAUAUGCAAAUAUGAAUAUGCAUCUGCUUUCUUUGACAUUUAAUAAUACAUGGCCUACGUAAGCUUUCCUGUUUAAGUGUUUACAGGAUGAGAAGAAAAAAUGUUAAUUUAUGUUUGAUACAAUAUAAAAAUACACAGAAUGACACAGAAUACUUUGGGGCACUGUAUUGGCAGCCACAUAUUUAAGUAUGCUUCAAUGGUAGGGAGUGGCACACUGGGGAGUGAUAACAAUGGAGGGGAAUUGUCUUUCUCAAGUUGCAUAUUUAAAUGUAUAACACAGAUUUAAAAAGAAAAUAGGAUGACAAUUCAAAUAUGUCUUCUAACUUUAUUCUGGUUCUAAGCUUGUAUUUCUUUUGAGAAUAUGGAAUUUUAAAAGAUUACAUUUUAUGCCAGAGCUGCAGCAUAAAGUUAUUAAUAUGUUCAUCUUCACAAGCUAUUGCUAAAUCCAGUGAGUCAGCCUACCAAUGCUAGAAAGACACAAAUUAGACAAACCGAGAUAUCCACACAUUUCUGUCCCUUUUAUUAGCCUGUAGGUUGCUGCAUUUUGAAGAGUUUACUAGCCUUUGUGUAAAAGGAUUGUAAUCCAUAAUAUAUUCUUGCUACACAUGUUGCUGUUAUUCCUCACUCAGCUUGCUCUUUGAAUGCAUGUGUACUUUCUAGCUUUGAUUGGCAGCACAUAUUGUUAUCCCUAAAAGGUUUUAAGCCUGAAAUAAUUGCCACAUUUGAUCAACAGAAUAGUAGUGCAUAGCCCAGUUUUGAAAGGAGGUGCCUCAGCAUCUGAUAGUAUUUAUGUGCUUUGGGCAGACACGAAAAAUGAACCUUGGAGCAUUUAAUCAGCAGCAUAGAUAAACAUCCAAAAGCAAAAGUGUAGGAACAGCUUCCCAUAUUCUUACUUUUUUCCCAUUAAAGGGCUAUGCAUUGGCCACUGCAUUAAAAAUAAACUCCUUGCUGUGGUUUUCAGAUCCUUGUAUUAGCUCUGAAUGUCUCUGGUUUUGUGUCUUGUUUUGCUCCCCCCAGUCACUGAAAUCCCCAAAGCUGAGAAGGAUGCUGCCUCCUUGCUAUCACCAUACCUGUCCCUGUGCUAGGGGGCAGUUCCUGCUGCCAGAAGCUGCCCUCCUGGUCCCAAGUCCCACUUCUGCUCCUCACCUUUAUGCACAACCUCUCAGAAGACUCACUUCCUACUGGAGGCCCAUUAGGAAGGCUUUCCCUACAGUGGCAUGUACAGAUUGUCAGGUGCAAAUAAGAGAAAAGAGGAGAUGCUCCAUAAGCAGUGGGUGGUAAAAACAUCUCCACAAAAUGCUCUCAGAGCAGCACUUCCCUCUAUUCCUUUCCAUCUCUCUUCCUGUAACAAGGAAUGCUCCAUCACUCUCCUGCAAAUGCUGAAUAUUUUUGCUGAUUAAUGUUUUAGAUUAGCCCUUUUGUCCAAGAGAUGAUUUUCUUUCUAGUGUUACCAGAGUGGAUUUCUUUAUUGCUCUGCAUUAGCUGCAUCUGUGUGAUGUAUUCGUUUAUUUGCAUGCCAGCUCACUUUUCUCAUUGCCUUUCUUCCUCCAUUCCUCUCUCUCCAUCUCUUUCUGCUGCUGCAGAGGAGCAAGAGUCAUUUAAUAUGAAAUGUUCUCAGUUUUUAGUACAGAAUGCACUGAACGAUUCUUAAUUACCUUUUAAAAAUGCACUGUAGAUAAAACCACAUUAAUCCUCUGACCUUCAGCUAGUACAAAAACAUUGUGUUAAUUGUCCUGAAAAAUAGAUAAUUCCAUUGUCACAAACUCAGAAGUCUUGCUUAAACAAACAUAAUUGUUAGACACAAGGGUCUGGCACAGUCACACUUCAAACCAUUUUAUGAAAAAUCUGUCCAGAGCUAUUCAGGAUAAAGAGGGAGCUAUGUCUUCAUAUCCCCAUGAAGGAUCAUGCUUAGCAUAGGCAUCAAGAAGCUUUCACCAGACUCUCCCAGUGCUCCCCAUGGCAGGGAUACAUCAGAUCAGAGAGGUCUAGCCUGCAUCCUGAGAGAGAAACAGGACCCCUCUCUUUUAAAGUUUUCAUGCCCAGCGUCAAGUAGAAAUUGAGGCUUUUAGAAACUUUGUUAUCCCUGUGUGGAAGUAAACAAGACCUCUAAAUUUUUGUGAAAGCCUGAAAUGUCACAGUAUUAUUAUUGAGGUGAUAAUAGUGUCUCAAAAACUCAAUUCAUAAAUUGCAGAGAGAAAAUGAGUGAAAGAAGACAUCUCCUUCUUUCAUUCUUAUGCUUUGCUUACAAUGUGAGCUUAUAAAAUGUAAUUCUGAUAGUAUGGUCAGAUAUGAGUUCAUUUUUUAGUGGAAAUGAAAAUAUAUUAUGCAGAACUUGAUGUUUUCAGGUACUCACAAUUUGUUUGUAGUCUGUCUUCUAAUGAUCCCUUUCUCACAGAGCUCCUUUCUCUGGAGCUUCACUGCUUCUUCUUAUAUCAACAUUCAUAAAAUUUCAUUAUGUUCAUGAGGAGCCUUUUUCUUCAAGUUUGAUUGCUGCAAACUCCUUUCCCACUUUGCUUUGGUUCUCACAAGAAAUAGCAUAGGUAAUAAAUGAGCUUAUAAAGCACAGAAAAUGUCAGCCUGGAUCUUCACACCACAUCUUAACUAAAACUCUGCUUAGCUGUCAUUGAUGUUCUUGCCUUCUAGUUAUUGCUGUAUUAAUUCAAAUAAUAAUGGUGGUAAUAAAUAAAUAAAUAAAUAAUAAAUUAAUAAAUAAAUUACUAUUUUGAUAGUAAGUCCUAUAACCCCUUUGCAAGGGUAGUCAGUGCCUUUUUCCCCACCUUCCACAUAGGGAAAUUCAGAUACAGGUUUAUCUCAUACAGGCCAGUUUCCCACACAGCCUACAAUACAUAACUUUUGAACACUAAAACAGUUCUAGCUGGAUCCCAAACUGUCAGACAACUUCAUUAUUUCCCUAAUGAAAAACAAGGACAACAAAAUCCAAAUGACAGUUAGGAAGACUAUGUUUUUGCUUAAUAAUGUAAGGCUGGACACGUGUUCAAGAAACCCAAGGCUCUGCCCCUUUUUACAGAUGCUUUAUGAGUUUCAAACCCAGGUAUCACACACAGAGUCACACAGAAUUGUCUGGGUUGGAAGAGACCUCAAGAUCAUCGAGUUCAACCUCUGACCUAACACUAACAAGUCCUCCGCUAAACCAUAUCCCUAAGCUCUACAUCUAAAUGUCUUUUAAAGACCUCCAGGGAUGGUGACUCCACCACUUCCCUGGGCAGCCCGUUCCGAUGCCUCACAACUCUUUCAGUAAAGAAGUUCUUCCUAAUAUCCAACCU
rnacentral:lncRNA from 1 species